rnacentral:rRNA from 1 species
GACGAACGCUGGCGGCGUGCCUAAUACAUGCAAGUCGAACGAACCGCGACUAGGUGCUUGCACUUGGUCAAGGUGAGUGGCGAACGGGUGAGUAACACGUGGGUAACCUACCUCAUAGUGGGGGAUAACAGUCGGAAACGACUGCUAAUACCGCAUAGGACAUAGGAUCACAUGAUUCUGUGAGGAAAGGUGGCGCAAGCUAUCGCUACGAGAUGGACCCGCGGUGCAUUAGCUAGUUGGUAGGGUAAAGGCCUACCAAGGCGAUGAUGCAUAGCCGACCUGAGAGGGUGAUCGGCCACAUUGGGACUGAGACACGGCCCAAACUCCUACGGGAGGCAGCAGUAGGGAAUCUUCCGCAAUGGACGCAAGUCUGACGGAGCAACGCCGCGUGAGUGAAGAAGGUCUUCGGAUCGUAAAGCUCUGUUGUUAGAGAAGAACAGCGCAUAGAGUAACUGUUAUGCGUGUGACGGUAUCUAACCAGAAAGCCACGGCUAACUACGUG